rnacentral:rRNA from 1 species
CCUACGGGUGGCAGCAGUGAGGAAUAUUGGUCAAUGGGCUGACGCCUGAACCAGCCAAGUCGCGUGAGGGAAGACUGCCCUAUGGGUUGUAAACCUCUUUUGUCAGGGAGCAACGCCGGCUACGUGUAGCCGGACUGAGAGUACCUGAAGAAAACGCAUCGGCUAACUCCGUGCCAGCAGCCGCGGUAAUACGGAGGAUGCGAGCGUUAUCCGGAUUUAUUGGGUUUAAAGGGUGCGCAGGCGGAAUGCCAAGUCAGCGGUAAAAUUGCGGGGAUCAACACCGCUCGGCCGUUGAAACUGGCGUUCUUGAGUGGGCGAGAAGUAGGCGGAAUGCGUGGUGUAGCGGUGAAAUGCAUAGAUAUCACGCAGAACUCCGAUUGCGAAGGCAACAUACCGGCGCCCAACUGACGCUGAAGCACGAAAGCGCGGGUAUCGAACAGGAUUAGAUACCAGGGUAGUC